AUUGAACGCUGGCGGCAUGCUUUACACAUGCAAGUCGAGCGGCAGCGCGGGGGCAACCCUGGCGGCGAGCGGCGAACGGGUGAGGAAUACAUCGGAACGUACCCCGGAGUGGGGGGAUAACGCCGCGAAAGCGGCGCUAAUACCGCAUAUGCUCUGAGGAGGAAAGUGGGGGACCUGCAAGGGCCUCACGCUCUGGGAGCGGCCGAUGUCCGAUUAGCUAGUUGGUGGGGUAAAGGCCCACCAAGGCGACGAUCGGUAGCUGGUCUGAGAGGAUGAUCAGCCACACUGGGACUGAGACACGGCCCAGACUCCUACGGGAGGCAGCAGUGGGGAAUUUUGGGACAAUGGGGGCAACCCUGAUCCAGCCAUGCCGCGUGCGGGAAGAAGGCC
rnacentral:rRNA from 1 species